ACCUGGGUGGCUUAGUUGACUAAGUGUCUGACUUUAGCUCAGGUCAUGAUCUCACAGUUCGUGGGUUCAAGUCCCGCGUCGGGCU
rnacentral:tRNA from 1 species